UGUAAGUGCAGUUGUGAGUUUUCGUAUGUAACGUUUGAUCGUCCAUCUUAUUUAUUUUUUUAUGAUUAGUAUUUUUAUUGUUGUUAGAUGAUAAAACGUGAAUAAUAAUUUAUGUGUGACCUAUUUUUGAAUAUUUUUUUUCAAAUUUUCAAAUAGGACGGACGGUUAAGUGUUGAAUACAGAAACCCAAAACUGCACUUAAA
rfam:Oryza sativa Japonica Group DNA, chromosome 8, cultivar: Nipponbare, complete sequence.